UAGGAAGUAGGCACCACAAAGGUGGUGAUGAUUUCCAAACCUAUGUGAAUGAAAUGACUCAUGAUAAAUAAAAGUGGCAUAUGCUUAUUGCCUUAUUUGUGAGAACUGAGACUUAACUGGUGCAUAGAGUGCUGUUUGGUGUUACACAGAGAUUCAUCAAUAGGAGAGUGACUGCAUAAAUUAUGGCCCAUCAAUCCAUGGAAUACUACACAGCCAUGAAAACGAGUAAGUACUAGAAGACUGAUGCUGUAAGAUAUCUACAGUCCAUUGUCAAGUAAAAAAAAAAAAAACCCUUGUAGAGGCAUAAUUAGAAAUCUAUAAUAAACUGCAGACAACGAUUACCUCUAGGUAGUAGAAUUGUGUGUGUGUGUGUGUACGUAUGUGUUAUAUGAUACAUUUUUACAGGGUUUAAUUUUUAAAGACAAGCAUUUAUUUCCUGUAAUAAAACAUUUUAAAAUAGUUUUAGAAAGGAAUAUGUUGAGGGACUUCUUUCUUUUUUUGUUGUGAUAAAAUACAUAGAACAUAAUAUUUAUAAUUUUAACCAUUUGUAAGUGUACAAUUAGCACAAUUUAAAUAUGCUCACAAUGUUUUAUAACCGUCUCUGCUAUUUAUGACCCCCAAUUUUUAAUCAUUCCCAUCAAAAACGUCAUAUCUAUUAAACAAUCAUUUUCCCUUUCCCUCUCCCUGCAGCCCCUGGAUACCUCUAUUCUACUUUCUCUCUCUGGAUUUGAGCAACCAGGCAAAACCUGCCCCAGCCCUGUUGCAGCAGAGAGGAUGCUGCAGUGGUGACCUCCAGAUAAGGAAGGCAUUUUAGGCUGUGACAGGCUAUCCUUCCUCAAGGCUGAGGCAAAAUGAGUUGAGGCGCCCUAUCUUUUCCUCAUAUUUGCAUUUAGAUGCAAUGCAUAUACCCAGGUGAGUCCCUCCACAAGAUAAUGAUCCUUUCAGAACCUUAGAUGACAUCAUUUGGAGAUUUGUUGAGUGGCUAUCAACCACCCCAACCAUGGUUGAUAAAGAAGAGAUAACAGAGUGAAAAUAUUUGUCAUAUGAGUUUCACUAUUUUUUUUAGUCAUAUAUGUUCUGAUGUGGUAGUGGGAGUAAAGAAUUCUCUUAUGACUGCUCUAGAUAUCAGAGAUGG
rnacentral:lncRNA from 1 species